rnacentral:misc_RNA from 1 species
UUUUUCUGUCCCACUCCAUUGGCAUCGCACGCAUUUUAGUGAUCGCCGUAACUCAGAUCAUUGCUAAGAUGUCCGGAGGACUAGAUGUACUUGCCCUCGGGGAAGAUGAUAUUACCAAAUUUUUGGCUUGUAACACCCAUCUUGGAGCCACCAAUGUCGACUACCAGAUGGAACAAUAUGUCUUCAAGAGGAAGCCUGAUGGUGUAUACAUUCUAAAUCUAAGGAAGACUUGGGAGAAGCUACUUUUGGCUGCACGUGCCAUUGCUGCCAUUGAGAACCCUGCAGAUGUGUGUGUCAUCUCUGCCAGGCUGCUUUCCGUGAGCCCCGUUUGUUGGUCGUCACCGACCCCCGAACUGACCAUCAGCCAGUCACUGAGGCCUCCUACGUAAACAUCCCAGUCAUUGCUCUGUGCAACACUGACUCUCCACUCAGAUAUGUGGACAUCGGUAUUCCUUGCAACAACAAGGGUCUGCACUCUGUGGGUCUGAUGUGGUGGCUUCUGGCUCGUGAAGUUUUGCGUCUGCGUGGAACCAUCAGCCGUGACCACCCAUGGGAUGUCAUGGUGGAUCUGUACUUCUACAGGGACCCAGAGGAGGCUGAGAAGGAGGAACAGGGAGCUAUUGAGAAAGCACCUGUCAAGGAUGAGAGCCAGGACCAGUGGGCCCCACCUGAGAUUCCAUUGCAGCCUGCACCCACUCAGGAGGUCACCGACUGGGCCUCAGAGGCCAUGCCAGUGGCCCCGGCUCCACAGCCCUUCAUGCCUGCAGGCACCGCCAAGGACUGGUCAGCCACUACCGAUGAUUGGUCCGCUGCUGCCUCAGGCCCAGCCCCAACCACUGGGGCCCCAGAAUGGGGAGGCACUGCCGCUGAGAACUGGAGCUAGAUUGUGAAACUGAAUGACAUUCAAACUCCAUGAAGAUGUUUUUCAUCUGUUCAAAAUAAAAACUGGAAAAAUUC